rnacentral:rRNA from 1 species
AGAAUCAACGCUGGCGGCGUGCCUAACACAUGCAAGUCGAACGAGAAAGUGGAGCAAUCCAUGAGUAAAGUGGCGCACGGGUGAGUAACACGUGACUAACCUACCCUCGAGUGGGGAAUAACUUCGGGAAACCGAGGCUAAUACCGCAUAACAUCUACGGAUCAAAUGCGUAAGCAGCUUGAGGAGGGGGUCGCGGCUGAUUAGCUAGUUGGCGGGGUAAUGGCCCACCAAGGCAAUGAUCAGUAGCCGGCCUGAGAGGGCGCACGGCCACACUGGAACUGAAACACGGUCCAGACUCCUACGGGAGGCAGCAGUGGGGAAUUUUGCGCAAUGGGGGAAACCCUGACGCAGCAACGCCGCGUGGAGGAUGAAGCCCCUUGGGGUGUAAACUCCUUUCGAUCGGGACGAUUAUGACGGUACCGGAAGAAGAAGCUGCGGCUAACUACGUGCCAGCAGCCGCGGUAAUACGUAGGCAGCAAGCGUUGUUCGGAAUUACUGGGCGUAAAGAGUGUGUAGGCGGUUCUCUAAGUUCCGUGUGAAAUCUCCCGGCUUAACUGGGAGGGUGCGCGGGAAACUGGAGGGCUUGAGUAUGGGAGAGGAAAGCGGAAUUCCUGGUGUAGCGGUGAAAUGCGUAGAUAUCAGGAGGAACACCUGCGGUGUAGACGGCUUUCUGGACCAUCACUGACGCUGAGACACGAAAGCGUGGGUAGCAAACAGGAUUAGAUACCCUGGUAGUCCACGCCCUAAACGAUGCAUACUUGGUGUGAGCCGUUCAUUCGGUUCGUGCCGGAGCUAACGCGUUAAGUAUGCCGCCUGGGGAGUACGGUCGCAAGGCUGAA